rnacentral:rRNA from 1 species
GACGAACGCUGGCGGCGUGCUUAACACAUGCAAGUCGAACGGAAAGGCCCUGCUUUUGUGGGGUGCUCGAGUGGCGAACGGGUGAGUAACACGUGAGUAACCUGCCCUUGACUUUGGGAUAACUUCAGGAAACUGGGGCUAAUACCGGAUAGGAGCUCCUGCUGCAUGGUGGGGGUUGGAAAGUUUCGGCGGUGGGGGAUGGACUCGCGGCUUAUCAGCUUGUUGGUGGGGGAGUGGCUUACCAAGGCUUUGACGGGUAGCCGGCCUGAGAGGGUGACCGGCCACAUUGGGACUGAGAUACGGACCAGACUCCUACGGGAGGCAGCAGUGGGGAAUAUUGCACAAUGGGCGGAAGCCUGAUGCAGCAACGCCGCGUGCGGGAUGACGGCCUUCGGGUUGUAAACCGCUUUCGCCUGUGACGAAGCGUGAGUGACGGUAAUGGGUAAAGAAGCACCGGCUAACUACGUG